rnacentral:lncRNA from 1 species
GUCUGUCUCUCCUGCCACCAUGGAAGAAGGUGCUUGUUUCCCCUUUGCCUUCCGCCAUGAUUGUAAGUUUCCUGAGGUCUCCCAGUCAUACUGCUGGUUAGGCCUGCGAAACUGCUGGUCUUGAACUCCCAGCCUCAAGCCAUCCUCCCGCCUUGGCCUUUCAAAGUGCUGGAUUACAAGCGUGAGCCACUGUGCACAGCCAAGACGCAAUUUUAAAUCGAGCGGUCAGGAAGCCUCCUGGAGAAAAUAACAUUUGAACAAAGACAUGAAGAAAGUGGAGAAUAUUUGGGGAAAAGCAUUUCAGGCAGAGGAAAGUGCCAGGGCAGAGGCCCCGAGGUGCUGCUGACAGCCACCGUGUGCUGCGGAGGAAGACUGCCUGAGAAUGGAGUCAUUAAGUGGGAAAUGGGGCAGAGAAAUAAAGAGAAAUCAAAUCCCAUCUUUUCAGUCCCGCUUCCCUCUCUCCCUCAUCCAUUCUUCCUAGCGGACUAUUCAGUUGUGCUUUUUAAGAUGUAUUCUGUUUUUG